rnacentral:rRNA from 1 species
CCCUUAGAGUUUGAUCCUGGCUCAGAUUGAACGCUGGCGGCAGGCCUAACACAUGCAAGUCGAACGGUAACAGGAAGAAGCUUGCUUCUUUGCUGACGAGUGGCGGACGGGUGAGUAAUGUCUGGGAAACUGCCUGAUGGAGGGGGAUAACUACUGGAAACGGUAGCUAAUACCGCAUAACGUCGCAAGACCAAAGAGGGGGACCUUCGGGCCUCUUGCCAUCGGAUGUGCCCAGAUGGGAUUAGCUAGUAGGUGGGGUAACGGCUCACCUAGGCGACGAUCCCUAGCUGGUCUGAGAGGAUGACCAGCCACACUGGAACUGAGACACGGUCCAGACUCCUACGGGAGGCAGCAGUGGGGAAUAUCGCACAAUGGGCGCAAGCCUGAUGCAGCCAUGCCGCGUGUAUGAAGAAGGCCUUCGGGUUGUAAAGUACUUUCAGCGGGGAGGAAGGGAGUAAAGUUAAUACCUUUGCUCAUUGACGUUACCCGCAGAAGAAGCACCGGCAACUCCG